AUUGAACGUUGGCGGCAUGCUUAACACAUGCAAGUCGAACGGUAACAGGCCCUUCGGGGUGCUGACGAGUGGCGGACGGGUGAGUAAUGCUUAGGAAUCUGCCUAGUAGUGGGGGAUAACCCGGGGAAACUCGGGCUAAUACCGCAUACGCCCUACGGGGGAAAGCGGGGACGUUUCGGCCUCGCGCUAUUAGAUGAGCCUAAGUCCGAUUAGCUAGUUGGUAGGGUAAUGGCCUACCAAGGCGACGANCGGUAGCUGGUCUGAGAGGACGACCAGCCACACUGGGACUGAGACACGGCCCAGACUCCUACGGGAGGCAGCAGUGGGGAAUAUUGGACAAUGGGCGCAAGCCUGAUCCAGCGAUG
rnacentral:rRNA from 1 species